GUGAGCGUAGCUCAGUGGUAGAGCAUCGGGCUGUGGACCCGAGGGUCGUGGGUUCAAAUCCCAUCGCUCACCCCA
rnacentral:tRNA from 1 species